GACGAACGCUGGCGGCGUGCUUAACACAUGCAAGUCGAACGGUGAAGCGAGUGCUUGCACUCGUGGAUCAGUGGCGAACGGGUGAGUAACACGUGAGUAACCUGCCCAUCACUCUGGGAUAAGCACUGGAAACGGUGUCUAAUACUGGAUACGACCAACCCUUGCAUGGGGUGUUGGUGGAAAGAUUUAUCGGUGAUGGAUGGACUCGCGGCCUAUCAGCUUGUUGGCGGGGUAAUGGCCCACCAAGGCGACGACGGGUAGCCGGCCUGAGAGGGUGACCGGCCACACUGGGACUGAGACACGGCCCAGACUCCUACGGGAGGCAGCAGUGGGGAAAUUUGCACAAUGGGCGAAAGCCUGAUGCAGCGACGCCGCGUGAGGGAUGACGGCCUUCGGGUUGUAAACCUCUUUCAGCAGGGAAGAAGCGAAAGUGACGGUACCUGCAGAAGAAGCACCGGCUAACUACGUG
rnacentral:rRNA from 1 species